CGAACAAGAAGCCAUCGUCACCCCCAUCCCCAGUCUCCACGGCCACCAGCCGCCGUCGCGCUCGACCUCCAACCACCGCCUCCACACCCGUCAGCCGCCGGUGCGAACCACCUCCAGCUGCGGCCUCCAAUCCCCGCCGGUGCGGCGACCUCCCAGCCCCAAGUUCUGGUUCUCUAGAUUGGUCUUGGUACACGAUACAUCUUAAGCUGGAGUUCGUCGCUAAGCAGGUUUGAUUAUGUAAAGUUCAAGUUUUUUGUGUGUGAUGCAGUAUAGCUCAACUACAUUUUAUUACCUCUUUACUUUUAAAUUGCUUACUGGAUGUUGAACUAAUUCUCUGCCUUCUCCAUCACUUACGUGGUUCCCUAUUUGGUUGAUCUAUUGUACUCAUGUAUAUUUCAAAAUACUAAGAAACGAGGCUAUCAAUUAUCUUGUAUACAAAAGGUUUGGGACUGAAUCUUCUAAUGAAAGCAGGAGUAGAAGAAGUCCAUGAGGGAGAGUUCGGUUCAAUUUAUAAAUUUCAUUCAGUUCGGCGAGGUGGAGAUUGGGGCACGGUGGAGUGUGGCCGUGUGUGUGGAGACGGCCCACCACAACGUCACCGGCCAGAUCCCACUCUUCAGUGACGAGCUGGACCUUCGUCUGCUUCUCGUUUCCAGCUGCAUCCAGGACGACCUGGACUUGCUGCCACUAGCUGUUGGUGCACCUCAUGUUAGCUCCUAGCUGUUACCUAGUGUGCUUGAUGCUACCGCUACAAAGAAGGUCGAAGGAGCUCCCUUCAGCUCAGUGGAUUCAACAAAAAAAUCCCUGCUGCCACUGCAUCCUGAGUUCAAGGGAUUCCUUAGGAGCCUUUUACACCAUCUUGCUAAUGAUGCCAUCGCUCGAUGCCACAGCCAUGCUCGUCGUUCUUGUGCUGCCAUUCACAUACUGCUCCCUGUUUUACUUCAUUGAGAUCCAUAGAAAUAAGUUAUAUUCAGUUUGCCACUUUUACAAUGGACGGUCCUAUGUUAACCGAACAAUAGUUCAAGCUCCUAAAAAAGCAAUUAUGUGUAUGCUACAUCACUUUGAGGAACUACAGCAAACAAAAUAAGGAGAGCUUGGUACUA